UACGUAGGGGGCAAGCGUUGUCCGGAAUCAUUGGGCGUAAAGAGCGUGUAGGCGGUUCGGUAAGUCGGCUGUGAAAGUCCAGGGCUCAACCCCGGGAGGCGGGUGGAUACUGCUGAGCUUGAGUCCGGAAGAGGCGAGUGGAAUUCCCGGUGUAGCGGUGAAAUGCGCAGAUAUCGGGAGGAACACCAAUGGCGAAGGCAGCUCGCUGGGACGUGACUGACGCUGAGACGCGAAAGCGUGGGGAGCAAACAGG
rnacentral:rRNA from 1 species